rnacentral:rRNA from 1 species
AUUGAACGCUGGCGGCAGGCCUAACACAUGCAAGUCGAGCGGAUGAAGGGAGCUUGCUCCUGGAUUCAGCGGCGGACGGGUGAGUAAUGCCUAGGAAUCUGCCUGGUAGUGGGGGAUAACGUCCGGAAACGGGCGCUAAUACCGCAUACGUCCUGAGGGAGAAAGUGGGGGAUCUUCGGACCUCACGCUAUCAGAUGAGCCUAGGUCGGAUUAGCUAGUUGGUGGGGUAAAGGCCUACCAAGGCGACGAUCCGUAACUGGUCUGAGAGGAUGAUCAGUCACACUGGAACUGAGACACGGUCCAGACUCCUACGGGAGGCAGCAGUGGGGAAUAUUGGACAAUGGGCGAAAGCCUGAUCCAGCCAUGCCGCGUGUGUGAAGAAGGUCUUCGGAUUGUAAAGCACUUUAAGUUGGGAGGAAGGGCAGUAAGUUAAUACCUUGCUGUUUUGACGUUACCAACAGAUUAAGCACCGGCUAACUUUGUG